CCCAAACCGCCACGGAUAAGAGGUGUUGAAAAACGAUGCAAAGAAAAGCACUUCUCCACCAGAAACGCUUCCACAGAAAUGCAACGCGUUUGGCCUCAGCAUCUAUCGCGUCUCGUUGGCGUACAAGACCGUUGUAGUUAUUGCGCCAUGAUUUUCAUCAUCCUUUCAAAUUCCAAAUCCUCACGCGGCGAACCGUACGACGGACAAUGGUCAUCCAAUCGCAUUUCAAAUUCUCCAUCACCAACUCCCUUCAGACGCAGCGAAACGCAAUCUUGAGCCUUCAUCUAAUUCGGAUCGUCAGCUUCCGGCGACCGUGAUUUCAACCACGUAUUCAGAUGCGCCAAACAAUUUCUUGCAGGUGAAAGUAGUCCAAAACAUUGCAUAUUAAAAGGUAAAGCGAGGGUGCGCGAUAUACAUACCGGAAGAGAGUAUCGAUGAUGAUGGUCACUUCAUAGGUCAUUGAUGGCGUGUGGGAUUCCGUACCAUUUGUGAUGCUGUAAUGAGGUUGCACAUGAAUGAUGGAAUUGUUGUGGCUUGAAGAUAUUUGGAAGGCUUUUGAGUUACUCAUGAUAGUUUAGGUUAAUGUGAUUUUGAUUGAGUAAUGGGGAUUUAAUAUUUGUAAUGAAGUGUAAUUGAAAGGAGUAUGGAAUAUGGAUUAUAGAACUUUGAAAGUGUAAUGAAUGUUUUAAUAAAUGGUAUUGAAUAUAUUUAUGUUGAAA